rnacentral:rRNA from 1 species
GAUGAACGCUGGCGGCGUGCCUAAUACAUGCAAGUCGAGCGAACGGACGAGAAGCUUGCUUCUCUGAUGUUAGCGGCGGACGGGUGAGUAACACGUGGAUAACCUACCUAUAAGACUGGGAUAACUUCGGGAAACCGGAGCUAAUACCGGAUAAUAUUUUGAACCGCAUUGUUCAAAAGUGAAAGACGGUCUUGCUGUCACUUAUAGAUGGAUCCGCGCUGCAUUAGCUAGUUGGUAAGGUAACGGCUUACCAAGGCAACGAUGCAUAGCCGACCUGAGAGGGAGGUCGGCCACACUGGAACUGAGACACGGUCCAGACUCCUACGGGAGGCAGCAGUAGGGAAUCUUCCGCAAUGGGCGAAAGCCUGACGGAGCAACGCCGCGUGAGUGAUGAAGGUCUUCGGAUCGUAAAACUCUGUUAUUAGGGAAGAACAUAUGUGUAAGUAACUGUGCACAUCUUGACGGUACCUAAUCAGAAAGCCACGGCUAACUACGUG